rnacentral:rRNA from 1 species
GAAUUGACGGAAGGGCACCAUCAGGUCUGGAUUGUGCGGCUCAAUUGGAUUCAACGCCCGAAACCCCACCAGGACAGGAGCGCUCGAUGAAGCACCGGCCGAAUACCUCUGCCGAUGAGCGUGCAGUUGGUGCAUGGCCGCCGUAGUUCGUGAGGUGACUUGUCUGGUUUAUUCCGACAACGAACGCAACCACAAUGCUCUACUAUCCGGCGAGCCCCUCGCGGGUCCGCAAGAAACUGGAGCAGACCAAUCGCUCGACGGGCUCUAGCCCAAGGCGAAGGAAGCUAUGGCGAUGGCAGGUCUGUGAUGCCGCUAGAUGCCCUGGAUCGCACGCGCAAUACAAUGGCGACCCAAGCGCGCAGGUUCGUCCGAGAGGACUUACAAAUCGCACGAAAAGUC